CCUACGGGAGGCAGCAGUGGGGAAUAUUGCACAAUGGGGGAAACCCUGAAGCAGCGACGCCGCGUGAGUGAUGAAGUUUUUCGGAUUGUAAACUCCUAUUAUUAGGGAAGAUAAUGACGGUAUCUGACGAAUAAGCCCCGGCUAACUCCGUGCCAGCAGCCGCGGUAAUACGUAGGGGGCAAGCGUUACUCGGAAUUACUGGGCGUAAAGGGAGCGUAGGCGGCAGAGCAAGUCUGGUGUGAAAUCCUAUGGCUUAACCAUAGAACUGCUUUGGAAACUGUUAAGCUAGAGUGCGGGAGAGGUAGGCGGAAUUCCUGGUGUAGCGGUAAAAUGCGUAGAGAUUAAGAGGAAUACUCAUUGCGAAGGCGACCUGCUAGACUAUAACUGACGUUGAGGCGCGAAAGCGUGGGGAGCAAACAGGAUUAGAUACCCGGGUAGUC
rnacentral:rRNA from 1 species